rnacentral:rRNA from 1 species
CGUCUAUCAUCGGUAAAGCAUCUUUCAAAUGUCUGCCUUAUCAACUGCGGAUGGUAGUUUCUGCGCCUGCCACUGUUGUAACGGGUAACCGGGAUUCAGGUUUCGAUUUCUGCGAAGGAGACGAAGAAACAGCUACCAAAUCCAAGGAAGGAAAUAUGCGCGCAUAUUAUCCACUCCAGGCACGUGGAGGUAGUGACGAAGGAUAACGAUACGGAACUUAUCCGAAGCCCUGUAUUCGGAAUGAGAACAAACAUUUUAAUUUCUUUAACGAGGACCAAUUAGAGGGCAAAUCUAGUGAUAGCAGCAGCGGUAAUUCCAGCUUUAGAAGCAUAUAUUAAAAUUGUUGCGGUUAAAAUGCUCGUUGAUUAGUCUGUGUGUCACGGUGUCAGUUCAUCACUCGCGGUGUUUAAUUGGCUUUAUGUGAUACGUCCUAUCAGUGGGCUUAGCUUUGCGGUCGGUCCAAUUAAUCCCCCAUCGCGGUGCUCAGCAUUGAGUGACGAGUUUGGUCGAUACGUUUACAUUGAACAGAUUAGAGUACUUAAAGCAGGCUACUUUAGUCUGUAAACUUCGUGAAUGGAUAAUGGAAUAGAAACUCGGUUCUGUUUUGUUGGUUUCCAGAGUUCCAAGGUAAUGAUUAAUAGGGACAGGUNCAUUGCGUUGUUAGAGGUGAAAUUUUUGGAUCGUCGCAUUACGGACAGAAGCGAAAGCCAAAGUGUUUUCAUUAAACCAGAACGAAUAUUAGAGUUUCGAAGGCGAUCAGAUACCGCAAUAGUUCCAACUACGAACUAUGUCAGCUAGCGUUCCGCCGAAGUUACUCAGAUGACUCGGUAGGCAGCUUUCGGGAAACAAAGCUUUUGGUUUCCAGGAAAUGUAUGACAGCAAAGCUGAAUCUUGAAAAAAUUAGCGGGAGGACAGCACUAGGUGUGGAGACCCUGGCUUAAUUUGUCUCAACACGGGGAACCUCACCAGGCCCGGACACCGGAAGAAUUGCCAUAUUGAUAGCUCUUUCUUUAUUCGAUGGGUGGUGGUGCAUGGCCGUUCUUAGUUGGUGGAGCGAUUUGUCUGGUUAAUUCCGAUAACAAACGAGACUCUAGCCUGCUAAAUAGACGCAACUUAUGGUAGGUCUCGAAGGCCCUCGGCUUCGUUCAGUUGGUUUUUACUACCAACGUGCAGACAAAUCAUUUUAGAGGAACAGGCGGCUUCUAGCCGCACGAGAUUGCUCAGUAACAGGUCUGUGAUACCCUUACAUGUUCUGGGCCUCACGUGCGCUACACUGAAGAUAUCAGCAUGUUUUCCCUGGCUCAAGAGCAUAAAUUGAGUACGCUGAACCUCCUUCGUGCUGGUGAUUGCAGAUAUUCCUCAUUAACAGGGAUUUCCAAGUAAACGCGAGUCAUAUGCUCGGGUUGAUUACAUCCCUGCCCUCUGCUCAUAUCGCCCGUCGCUACAACCGACUAAAUGAUUAAGUGACAUUCUCGGACUGUUGCGCAGCCAAUGCUUCGGAAUUGCCGAUGUUGCACAGAAGAUGUCCAAUCUUGAACAUUUAGAGGAAGUAAAAGUCGUAGCAAAGUUACCGUAGGUGAACUUGUGGAAG